rnacentral:misc_RNA from 1 species
UGGUUGAUAAGAGCAUAAGUGACAUGGAGUGUAUUUAUGAAGAGUUAAGGCCAAAUUAUUUAGAUCUGUUUUGACUCGAGUCAAAUAAUCAUAAUUCAGACAGGUAGCAACUUGAUAGAUCUUUAGUAACCAUGUUGUGAUUGUAAACAUUUGCAGUUCUUGUAGUUUUCCAUGUAUUAGGAUAGAAGCUAAGGGCCUGUUUUUACUUGUGGAAAAAGUUAUAUGUUUGCAUUUUUCUUUUUCUAAGAACUCAAGUUUUCAUUUUCCAUGAAAAAUAAGGGAAACAAUUACAACAACAACUAAGCCUUAA